rnacentral:rRNA from 1 species
CCUACGGGUGACAGCAGUGAGGAAUAUUGGUCAAUGGGCGUAAGCCUGAACCAGCCAAGUCGCGUGAGGGAUGAAGGUUCUAUGGAUCGUAAACCUCUUUUAUAAGGGAAUAAAGUGUGGGACGUGUCCUGUUUUGUAUGUACCUUAUGAUUAAGGAUCGGCUAACUCCGUGCCAGCAGCCGCGGUAAUACGGAGGAUCCGAGCGUUAUCCGGAUUUAUUGGGUUUAAAGGGUGUGUAGGCGGCCUUUUAAGUCAGCGGUGAAAGUCUGUGGCUCAACCAUAGACUUGCCGUGGAAACUGGGAGGCUUGAGUAUGUUUGAGGCAGGCGGAAUGCGUGGUGUAGCGGUGAAAUGCUUAGAUAUCACGCAGAACCCCGAUGGCGAAGGCAGCCUGCCAAGCCAUGACUGACGCUGAUGCACGAAAGCGUGGGGAUCAAACAGGAUUAGAUACCCUUGUAGUC